rnacentral:rRNA from 1 species
GGAAUUGUUCGCAAUGGGCGCAAGCCUGACGACGCAACGCCGCGUGGAGGACGAAGAUCUUCGGGUCGUAAACUCCUUUCGAUCGGGAAGAACGCCUUCCGGCUGAAUAAUCCGGAAGGGUGACGGUACCGAGAGAAGAAGCCCCGGCUAACUCUGUGCCAGCAGCCGCGGUAAUACAGGGGGGGCAAGCGUUGUUCGGAAUUACUGGGCGUAAAGGGCUCGUAGGCGGCCAACUAAGUCACACGUGAAAUCCCCAGGCUUAACCUGGGAACUGCGUGUGAUACUGGAUGGCUUGAAUUCGGGAGAGGGAUGCAGAAUUCCAGGUGUAGCGGUGAAAUGCGUAGAUAUCUGGAGGAAUACCGGUGGCGAAGGCGGCAUCCUGGACCGACAUUGACGCUGAGGAGCGAAAGCUAGGGGAGCAAA